UGGGGCGUGGCCAAGCGGCAAGGCAACGGGUUUUGGUCCCGCUAUUCGGAGGUUCGAAUCCUUCCGUCCCAG
rnacentral:tRNA from 3 species